rnacentral:lncRNA from 1 species
UUUGUGGGACCAUCUUCAUUUUUUGCUUUUUGGUUUUUGAGACCAUCCAGUUACAAGGGAUGAAGCAGUGAAGGAUGUCAGAACUCACUUUCCUAGAAAUCUUGGCGGUGUUUUCCCCAGGCUAACACCCUCAGCACUCCUUUAAGAUAGGCCAGAGAAGCAUGUAGCUGUCUCAACCAUCUCUAAAUAACCUGAAUAAAUAGUUUGUGGAGGGAGAACCAAUUUGAAGGUCAACUCCUUACCUACAUGGUGUAUGUUGAGAGAAAAAGAUAGGUAUUGCUAUCUGAGGAUGGACAGCAAACGCUUCUGGGCUGGACUGGUUGAAGGUCUGAGCUUCUGCUGAGGCCACUGAUAGGGUUUCUGCAUCUAGGGUGAGAAAAUUAGGCUCAUAACCAGCGUUUGUAAUGACCACUGGGGAACAGUUCUGUUGUAAGGCAGCGUGUCUAAAUAGUAAGACGACAAUUGCAUCAGUAACACAUCAGCAUGAACCUGCAGCAAGAGAAAGAAAAAUGCUGCUUUCCGUUAGGCACUGUGUUAAUUAACUGUCUUCGAGGUAGGCCUGGGAUGCAUUCUCCUUGAUAGGAGUCCAAGACCUUACGAAAGCAAGGCUGAGAGCUUGAGGCAGAGCAGAGAAUCUGCAGGAGCUUCAUUGUGUGAAGUCGUUCUGCGCCGCCACAAACCCGCUUCCGAAUGGUUUGGCGCAUUGAGAAGCUGCCCGAUUUGUAAAGCAGCCUUUUGAGCUAAUUGAAGUGAACUUGCCACAAAUUCUAGCCUCAGACAGGUCUUAAAAGGCAGAUGUAGUGCGGAGUUUUGUUCCUAACCUCACAUAAUGACCGUAGUGCUAAUGAUUUCACGGGUCCUCGUCCACAGGAGACUUGCCUGGAGAGGAACACUUGGUUGCUUCGAUCUCACAAUAUGCACCAAAGAUUUUCUCAUUCGACAUGCACGUGAGCGUUUAGCAAGCAUUUAAGAACGUGGUGUGUGGAAGGCGAUAUUGGGCAGUUGCCAUGCAUUUUCAGCGGUUGAAAGCUUGACCUGCAUCCUAAAGGCGAUGGUAAGAGAGAUUAGGUAAUAAAUGUCAGAUUAGGUAAUGUAUGUUGCUUUGC